rnacentral:rRNA from 1 species
GUUUCGGCUAAGCCAUGCGAGUCUAGGGAUCGCAAGAUACCGGCAUACUGCUCAGUAACACGCGGAUAAUCUGCCCCCAGGUGAAGAAUACCCUCGGGAAACUGAGGCUAAUACUUCAUAAUCACUAUAUGCUGGAAUGCUUUGGUGAUGAAAGAAUUUCGCCUGAGGAUGAGUCUGCGGCCUAUCAGGUCGUAUGUGGUGUAAUGGACCACAUAGCCUAAGACGGGUACGGGCCUUGAAAGAGGGAGCCCGGAGAUGGACUCUGAGACAUUAGUCCAGGCCCUACGGGGCGCAGCAGGCGCGAAAACUGUACAAUGCGUGAAAGCGCGACACGGGAAGCCUGAGUGCCUUAACACAGUUAAGGCUUUUCUCAAGCCUAAAAAGCUUGAGGAA